rnacentral:rRNA from 1 species
UACGAAGGGGGCUAGCGUUGUUCGGAAUCACUGGGCGUAAAGGGCGCGUAGGCGGCUAAUCAAGUCGGGGGUGAAAGCCUGUGGCUCAACCACAGAAUUGCCUUCGAUACUGUAUGGCUUGAGUCCGGAAGAGGACAGCGGAACUGCGAGUGUAGAGGUGAAAUUCGUAGAUAUUCGCAAGAACACCAGUGGCGAAGGCGGCUGUCUGGUCCGGUUCUGACGCUGAGGCGCGAAAGCGUGGGGAGCAAACAGG